rnacentral:rRNA from 1 species
UGGGGAAUAUUGCACAAUGGGCGCAAGCCUGAUGCAGCCAUGCCGCGUGUAUGAAGAAGGCCUUCGGGUUGUAAAGUACUUUCAGCGGGGAGGAAGGCGAUAAGGUUAAUAACCUUGUCGAUUGACGUUACCCGCAGAAGAAGCACCGGCUAACUCCGUGCCAGCAGCCGCGGUAAUACGGAGGGUGCAAGCGUUAAUCGGAAUUACUGGGCUUAAAGCGCACGCAGGCGGUCUGUCAAGUCGGAUGUGAAAUCCCCGGGCUCAACCUGGGAACUGCAUUCGAAACUGGCAGGCUAGAGUCUUGUAGAGGGGGGUAGAAUUCCAGGUGUAGCGGUGAAAUGCGUAGAGAUCUGGAGGAAUACCGGUGGCGAAGGCGGCCCCCUGGACAAAGACUGACGCUCAGGUGCGAAAGCGUGGGGAGCAAACA